UUCUUUUAAAAAUGGACGGCUGUGAAAACUAACCAAACACCCCCUAAAUCGGCUACCAGGGUUUUGAUUGAACAAAUUUCUUGCCGAAAUGGAAAGAUAGGGGUUUCUGAUAAGCAUACCGAUUCAAGAUACCCUUUCGAUUAUCAGAUAUGAGAAGUUGAGACACCUCGAUCGUGAAACGCCGGUGAUUUCGAGCGGCGAUUCGCAUUUUUCAGGUAAACUUCGUUUCGUCUGUCCGAUGAACAACCUCCUCACACGCCAGUAUCGAUAAUUACUAACAAUCAUUCUUCGAAGAAGCCUGUACUUUCUCGUACUUCAUCUAAGAUUGAUAUAUUUCCGGCAUCGAAGGUUUUUCCACGGCAACGGGAAUAUGUAGGUGAUAAAGUAUGGACGUAAGAAGAUUUUUCUUCUUGGUAUUAGAACGGGAAAUAGACCGAUGAAGAUACUGGUUUUGUUGAUUUCACUUAACGUGGCUUGUUCUACUGCCGAAUUGCUUAUUGGUCUUCUAUCGGGUCGAGCAGGUUUGGUAUCAGAUGCAUUUCAUUUGACGUUUGACUGUGGCCUGUUGACAUUUUCUUUAUUUGCCAUGGCUGCUUCUUGGACAAAGGCUAAUGGAUCUACACUUAUAGAAGAGUGCCGUAACAUCAACACCUUUACAAAACAGCUUCUCCCAAAGUGAAGACGUUUCAAAAGAUGAUAAAUUGAUAAUUCACCAUAAAAAUGGAAUCUUGAAGUUGGGUGAAAAGUUAAAUCAGAAUCAAAAUGCGUAAGAGGAUUUUUCAUAUUCAGACUGUUCAUUCAGCCUUGAAAAAAAAACUUCUCAAUUCACUUGCACUCAAAGUUACUAUAGAGAAAACAGAGGAAAGUUAUGAAAACCCCUGCAAGGCUGUUGAAGAUUUUUUUUAAAGAAAACAUAAGAAAGCGAUGUGCUUGGAGUUAACAUGUUUGAUAUGGACAUAAGAAGUUGUGAUGAAGGCAGCCAACAAUCAUGGAGAAAACUGGAUUUAUAUCAGGGAUCCCCAGAAAGCUCAAAGUAUAGUACAGGAUCAACUGUUCUCUCCCAAAUGAUUGAGAAAAUUGAUGGAUUUACUGGGAUUUGAUGAUCCUUAUGAACCUCCUUUGAAUUGUGAGGUACAUUUUGCAAGGCUGUUUUGGUCAUUUCCAUGCAUUUUUCUUUUCAGUAUUACUACACGUUCUACUUCUUUAUGCAAGAAAUGAUGAUGUACUUUUAUUGAUUUUUUAUUACAGCUUCCUACUUUUCAAACCAUAGUUUUCUUGAUGAAUUAGAAAUUUAACAUACACUACUAUAAUUGGGUAGAGUUUUUAACAAUGAUGUAAUAGAAAGAAAUGUAAGUAAGAGGCUAUAAUAUACAAAUAAUGAAAGUAUGUUGCUAUUUA